GAUGAACGCUGGCGGCGUGCCUAAUACAUGCAAGUCGAGCGGAGGAUUUAGCAAUAGAUCCUUAGCGGCGAACGGGUGAGUAACGCGUUGGUGACCUGCCUCGAAGACCGGGAUAACAGUUCGAAAGGACUGCUAAUACCGGAUGUGACCACGGAGAUUAGACGCUCUGUGAUUGAAGGAGAAAUUCACUUCGAGAGGGGCCUGCGUCCCAUCAGCUAGUUGGUAGGGUAACGGCUUACCAAGGCGAUGACGGGUAGGGGACCUGAGAGGGUGGCCCCCCACAAUGGAACUGAAACACGGUCCAUACACCUACGGGAGGCUG
rnacentral:rRNA from 1 species